rnacentral:rRNA from 1 species
CGCCUAAUACAUGCAAGUCGAACGAAGUAGCAAUACUUAGUGGCAGACGGGUGAGUAACAUGUGGGUAUCUUCCCUUUGGUGAGGAAUAACACGAGGAAACUUGUGCUAAUACCUCAUAAGUCUUUACGGAGAAAGCUUUAUGCGCCAAUGGAUGAGCCUGCACUUGAUUAGUUUGUUGGUGGGGUAAUGGCCUACCAAGACUAUGAUCAAUAGCUGAUUUGAGAGGAUGAUCAGCCACAUUGGGACUGAGACACGGCCCAAACUCCUACGGGAGGCAGCAGUAGGGAAUCUUGCACAAUGGAGGAAACUCUGAUGCAGCGAUGCCGCGUGAGUGAAGAAGGCCUUUGGGUUGUAAAGCUCUUUCGUCGGGGAAGAAAAUGACUGUACCCGAAUAAGAAGGUCCGGCUAACUUCGUGCCAGCAGCCGCGGUAAUACGAAGGGACCUAGCGUAGUUCGGAAUUACUGGGCUUAAAGAGUUCGUAGGUGGUUAAAAAAGUUGGUGGUGAAAGCCCAGAGCUUAACUCUGGAACGGCCAUCAAAACUUUUUAGCUAGAGUUUGAUAGAGGAAAGCAGAAUUUCUAGUGUAGAGGUGAAAUUCGUAGAUAUUAGAAAGAAUACCAAUUGCGAAGGCAGCUUUCUGGAUCAUUACUGACACUGAGGAACGAAAGCAUGGGUAGCGAAGAGGAUUAGAUACCCUCGUAGUCCAUGCCGUAAACGAUGUGUGUUAGAUGUUGGAAAUUUAUUUUCAGUAUCGCAGCGAAAGCAAUAAACACACCGCCUGGGGAGUACGACCGCAAGGUUAAAACUCAAAUGAAUUGACGG